rnacentral:rRNA from 1 species
GACAGAGGGGGCAAGCGUUGCUCGGAAUUACUGGGCGUAAAGGGCGCGUAGGCGGGAUGGCAAGUCGGUCGUGAAAUCCCUCGGCUCAACCGAGGAACGUCGAUCGAUACUGCUGUUCUUGAGGAUUGCAGAGGAGACUGGAAUUCCCGGUGUAGUGGUGAAAUGCGUAGAGAUCGGGAGGAACACCUGUGGCGAAGGCGGCCGACUGGGCCGACCCUGACGCUGAGGCGCGAAGGCGUGGGGAGCGAACGGG